rnacentral:misc_RNA from 1 species
UCAUCAUUUCAAAAGAAGAACAAAAAAAAAAAGUUCUCUCUUUCCUGUUGGAAAAAAAGCCAAAAGAACAAAGAAAACAAUAACAAUGAAUAAGAGGAAGAACAAAAAUGGUUAAAAAAAAAAAACCUGCACUGAAAUUUUCUAUGUCAUGGACCUUUCAUACUGAGAACAGUUUGCACUGCAUGUUUGAUGUAGAACAAAGGGAAAG